GGACUGGAGAUGAAAUAAGAUUGGCCAUGAGUCAUUCAUUGUGCUGAGUGAUGGGUGGAUUUCUCUAUACUAGUCUGCCUACUUUUUGCAUAUUUUUGAAAUUUUCCAUGAGAAAAGUUAUUUUAUAAAUAUCUAUUACCUAUUCAUAGAAAAAAAUUAGAAGUAUAUACUCAAAAUGUAACAGUGGUGAUAGGUGAUUUUUAUUUUCUUCUUUGUGCUGCCCCACAGUUUCCACAUUUCUGCAAGUGUGUAUUAUUUUUAAAAUCAAGAAAGGUGUUUUUCUUGGGAAAGUGGCUACCGAUUAUUGGCCCAGCUGGAAAUGAGUAGGCUUAACGAGCAAAAACCAAGCCCUGGCUAGAGAAAUAUAAGUUAAUUAAAUUAAGGGUAGCUUCCCAGCAGAGAGAGAGAGAGAAACCAGGUAAAGGGAAGGCGAAAGUUUUAGCUUCUUCCUCUGCUAAGGAAACUUGAGCUGUGAGAAGAGGCUUUGUGUAAGGGAUGGACUGAGAUUUGAGGGAAGAACAAGAAAUAAAGGCAUGGAGGAAAAGGCAAGGAAGACUGAGAAAGACGUGGUGAAAUUACCUUAAGAUUGCAAUAUUAGGAGACUUGGAAGAAACCUCCAUCCUCUGGGACUUGGAGAAGGCUGUGCUGGAAUCUGUGUGGAGGUUAAGAAAACUAUCCCUUUGGUUGUGGCCUGAGUUUAUUAUCUCAACCCCAAUGUUGCCCUGAAAUCUGUGUUCAAGAUUCAAGAAGAUUAGGACUGCUAAGGAGAUGACCUGUCCUGCCCUGUCUAUUUUGCUGAGCCAUGUGAGACUUAUCUAAGAAACGAUCAGAAGCACUUAUAUUUCAGCACCUUGGAGAGCUACCAGUGGAUGUGGGUGAUGUCGUUUUACGCAUCAGCCAUUUGGGGCUAUGGUUCCACUGAAAACGUUGACUGGACUGCUUGAAGCGUGGCUGUCUCUUCUGACUCGCUACAUCCAGCAACCAAAGAUGUGCCUUAAAAUAUUUAACAAUUUCUCUAUUGAUACAUAUCAUACUCAUUGUUUUUGUUCUUACAAUUAUUUCUUCACUAGUCAUCUGUGGAGAAAUAUUCUUCUGUUCUGGUGCUUUUAAACUCCUAAAUUUGAAAUACUAGAUUGGUUUGCUUAUGUGAGCAUCUUUAUAAAGUCAGGGCAAUAAUUAGUUUAUUCCAGGUUUUCUCUUAUGCCAUCACCCAUGAAUCUCCUGCAUCAUACCUAGCACCUCUGAAAGAAAUAUGAGCUUUUUCAAAAGAGAGUAAAGACAUGCAUUUGAUACAGUUUUGUAAUUUCUAUUCUGUCAUACUAAUCUCAGGCUCUUAAAAACAUUUUGUUAUGGGUAAAGGAGAAAAAAUUUCAAAGAAUUUCAGGAAAAAGAAUACCUUAAAAAUGUGUAUGCUGAAAAAAUUAAAGUGAGUAUGAACAAAUGAAUGUAAUAUGUCAAUAUUAAGAGUUCUACGGCCAAAAAAGCAUUAGCAUGAUUUGAAAACAGAUUGCAUGUCUCUUUAAACAAUGGCAUCUCUAAAAAUGGGAUGCUGUUAUAAAUAUACUUCUGUUAAUUGUCUUCAUGUCAGACUUAAUUUAAUCAUAAAAAAAUUUGAUUUGAUUUUAAUACUGUAGGAAACAUAUUUUGGUUUUAAGGAUUACCUAAAAAUCAAGUUGUAAUCUUUUUAAAAAGUAUAAAAUUACUAUAUCUUCACAAAUCAGCAAGGAGUAAUGCUAGCCAGGGCUUUUCUAAGCUAACCAUACAAUCUUUUUUUUCUCAUUUUUCUUUUGGCUUUCCUUCUAUUGAAUUUCUUCUACAGGGAAUUGAUGUUGGGUAACCUUGCAACAGAUUUUAAAUCCCUUUGACUUUUAAUUUACAUUGUAUUAUUUUUACACAAAAAUCGGGUCUUGUUUCUUUCUUUUUGCUUAGGUAAACAGUUAAAAAAGCUUUAACCCAGAGAUACUUCAUCUUUUGAAAUCUGCUAAAUUUUUAACUAGCUCAAAUUUUCUUAAUUAGGCAAGAUAUAAAUAAAUUUAUAAGUAAAGUUUUUAAUCUUUUGACCCGUACAUAUUGAGCUACAGAGCAUAACAGCUACUUUAAAAAUGUAAGAAUAAGUGAUUGUAUAUCUGUGUGUGUGUGUGAGAAUGUUUAUUAAUCAUUUCUUUGUUUAUUUUAUUUUAUUCAUUCAUCAUCAAAAUAAUAGCCAAAAAUCUUCCAAUGAUUAGCUUAAUGAAGGAAAAGUUCUGUUUAAUAAAAUUUUAACAUUAAUAACAGUGUUAGGAUUAUUAAAAUGGUGUUUUGAUAUUGUCAUUCAAGCAACAUAAAAGACAUUAUAUAAAUCACUCCAUGAAAAAAAAAAGAGACAAGAUGAGUCACAUUUCCUUUCAGGCUGGCCAGAAAGAACAUUGCCAUAGAUUUGCCAGCACCUGACUAUUUUAUAACAUGGCAACAGUAUAAUAGAUUUCAACCUCAUUAAGUUUUGAGCCUGGGAUGGAACAACAUUAUGGCCAAUGGUUUAUAUUUGGCAAAAUUUAAUUUGGCCAACUUCAAUUUCCUAAAUUGGGAUCUCACUGAGAUGGCUGUUGUUGCCUGAACUCUUUUUGGGUCUUAGUGAGGUUGGCCUGAGUCUUAUGUGAGAAAGGCCAGAGCCAUGAAUUGGAUCCCAUUCUUAUUCUAUCUCUUGGUCACAGCCCACAGUUCUUGUACAGCUAACCACAACCUCAUCUUUGCAAACUUCAGAACUCUGUCUACCAAUAGGUGAAAGAAUGUUUAGUCCCUAUUCUAAUGCGUAUUGUGUGUUCAUUCAUCCUGCCAAUAUGAGUAGUAAGUGUAUUAGCAUAUUUAUAUGGUUUUCAUGUUUAUCUCUGUUAGAUAAUAAAUUUCCUGAGAAAAAGAGCUUUGCCCUAUUUUUUCAGCUUU
ensembl:lncRNA